rnacentral:rRNA from 1 species
AUUGAACGCUGGCGGAAUGCUUUACACAUGCAAGUCGAACGGCAGCACGGACCUCGGUCUGGUGGCGAGUGGCGAACGGGUGAGUAAUGUAUCGGAACGUGCCCAGUCGUGGGGGAUAACGUAGUGAAAAUUACGCUAAUGCCGCAUACGGUCUAUGGAUGAAAGCGGGGGAUCGCAAGACCUCGCGCGAUUGGAGCGGCCGAUAUCAGAUUAGGUAGUUGGUGGGGUAAAGGCCCACCAAGCCAACGAUCUGUAGCUGGUCUGAGAGGACGACCAGCCACACUGGAACUGAGACACGGUCCAGACUCCUACGGGAGGCAGCAGUGGGGAAUUUUGGACAAUGGGCGAAAGCCUGAUCCAGCCAUUCCGCGUGCAGGAUGAAGGCCCUCGGGUUGUAAACUGCUUUUGUACAGAACGAAAAGGUUUCUACUAAUACUAGGAGCUCAUGACGGUACUGUAAGAAUAAGCACCGGCUAACUACGUGCCAGCCGCCGCAGUAA